rnacentral:rRNA from 1 species
AGUGAACGCUGGCGGUAGGCCUAAUACAUGCAAGUCGAACGGCCGCACAGUAAGAUUUUGCUUCUAAGGGUGGCGACGGGCGGACGGGUGAGGCAUACAUAGCAUACUUAUUUUUCUUGGGGGACAUCGUAGGGCCAGAUCCGCUACUGCCGAAUAUGUUCAACGGGUUGAUGCAGGGGAUCUUCGGAGCUUGCGUGUUUGAAUGAGCUGGUGUCGGAUUAGCUAGUUGGCUGGGUAAAGGCCCACCAAGGCGACGAUACGUAGCUGGUCUGAGAGGAUGAUCAGCCACACCGGAACUGAGACACGGUCCAGACUCCUACGGGAGGCAGCAGUGGGGAAUAUUGGACAAUGGGCGAAAGCCUGAUCCAGCCAUGCCGCGUGAGUGAUGAAGGCCUUCGGGUUGUAAAGCCCUGUUGUUAGGAAAGAAAAACAGCGGAUGAAUACCCCGCUGUUCUGACGGUACCCAAUGAAUAAGCACCGGCUAACUACGUG